rnacentral:rRNA from 1 species
AUACGGAGGGACCAAGCGUUGUUCGGAAUCAUUGGGCGUAAAGCGGGCGCAGGCGGCUCGGCAAGUCGGGUGUGAAAGCCCAGGGCUCAACCCUGGAACUGCACUCGAAACUGCCGAGCUAGAGUCCCGGAGAGGGUGGCGGAAUUCCCGGUGUAGAGGUGAAAUUCGUAGAUAUCGGGAGGAACACCAGUGGCGAAGGCGGCCACCUGGACGGUGACUGACGCUCAGGUCCGAAAGCGUGGGGAGCAAACAGGAUUAGAAACCCCAGUAGUCC